ACCCGUUGAUCCUGCGGGAGGUCGCUACUAUUAGGGUUCGACUAAGCCAUGCAAGUCAGAGGGGCUCUUCGGAGUCACAGGCAAAAUGCUCAGUAACACGUCGUUAAUCUAACCUUAGAUCUGGAAUAACCUUGGAAAACUGAGGCUAAAACCGGAUAUGGGAAAAUAAUUGGAAAAUGUUUUCCUUUAAAAGCAAUGUCUAAGGAUGAGACGGCGGCGGAUUAGGUUGUUGGCGGGGUAAUGGCCCACCAAGCCGACGAUCCGUAGGGGCCGUGAGAGCGGUAGCCCCGAGAAGGACACUGAGAUACUGGUCCUAGCCCUACGGGGUGCAGCAGGCGCGAAACCUUUACAAUGCACGAAAGUGUGAUAAGGGAACCCUAAGUGCUCAUGUUUUACAUGGGCUUUUGCCAAGAAUAAAUAUCUUGGCGAAUAAGUGGUGGGAAAGACUGGUGCCAGCAGCCGCGGUAACACCAGCGCCACAAUUAGGGACCACUACUAUUGGGCCUAAAGCGUCCGUAGCCGGCUGAAUAAAUUUCUUGUGAAAUUGUUGGGCUUAACCUAACAACGUGCAGGAAAAACUGUUCAGCUUGGAACCGGGAGAAGUCAGGAGUAUGCUGGGGGGAGCGGUAAAAUGUUAUAAUCCCCGGUAGACUACCAGUGGCGAAGGCGCCUGACUAGAACGGAUUCGACGGUGAGGGACGAGAGCCAGGGGAGCGAAGCGGAUUAGAUACCCGUGUAGUCCUGGCCGUAAACGCUGCGAGCUAGGUGUUGCAUAUUCUACAUGAAUAUGCAGUAUCGAAGCGAAGGUGAUAAGCUCGCCGCCUGGGAAGUAUGGUCGCAAGGCUGAAACUUAAAGGAAUUGGCGGGGGAGCACUACAAGGGGUGCGGCGUGCGGUUUAAUCUAAUUCAACGCAGAGAAUCUCACCAGAAGCGACGGCAGGAUGAAAGUCAGGCUAAAGGUCUUACUUGACGAGCCGAGAGGUAGUGCAUGGCCGCCGUCAGCUCGUGCUGUAAAGUGUCCUGUUAAGUCAGGCAACGAGCGAGACCUGCAUCUACAAUUGCUAACGGAUUCUUUAGAAUGACUGAGCACAUUGUGGAGACUGCCCUGGAAACAGGGAGGAAGGUGCAGGCUACGGUAGGUCUGUAUGCUCCGAAUCUUCUGGGCUACACGCGCGCAACAAUGGUAAGGACAAUGGGAUGCGACUCCGAAAGGAGGAGCUAAUCCUCGAAACCUUAUCCAAGUCUAGAUUGAGGAUUGUAACUCAUCCUCAUGACAAUGGAAUCCCUAGUAAUCAGAGUUUAUCAUACUCCGGUGAACAUGUCCCUGCUCCUUGCACACACCGCCCGUCAAGCCACCCGAGUAGGGUUAGGUGGGAGGUAAAUUUUAUUUGCAUCGAACCUAAGCUCAGCGAGGAGGGCUAAGUCGUCACAAGGUA
rnacentral:rRNA from 1 species